rnacentral:miRNA from 1 species
UUGCCACACUGCAACACUUUACA